rnacentral:rRNA from 1 species
UACGGGGGGGGCAAGCGUUGUUCGGAAUUAUUGGGCGUAAAGAGCUCGUAGGCGGCUUGUUGCGUCGUCCGUGAAAACCCGUGGCUCAACUGCGGGCUUGCGGACGAUACGGGCAGGCUGGAGUUCGGUAGGGGAGACUGGAAUUCCUGGUGUAGCGGUGAAAUGCGCAGAUAUCAGGAGGAACACCGGUGGCGAAGGCGGGUCUCUGGGCCGAUACUGACGCUGAGGAGCGAAAGCGUGGGGAGCGAACAGG